ACUCAAAGGAAUUGACGGGGGCCCGCACAAGCGGUGGAGCAUGUGGUUCAAUUCGACGCAACGCGAAGAACCUUACCUGGGCUCGAACGGCUGGUCAACGAUCGUGGAAACACGGUUACUCCGCAAGGGGGUCCAGUCGAGGUGCUGCAUGGCUGUCGUCAGCUCGUGUCGUGAGAUGUUGGGUUAAGUCCCGCAACGAGCGCAACCCUCGUCCUGUGUUGCCAUCAUUCAGUUGGGAACUCGCAGGAGACCGCCAGCGAUAAGCUGGAGGAAGGUGGGGAUGACGUCAAGUCCUCAUGGCCUUUAUGUCCAGGGCUACACACGUGCUACAAUGGCCGGUACAAUGCGCUGCUAAGUCGCAAGACGGAGCCAAUCGCAAAAAACCGGUCUCAGUUCGGAUUGCAGGCUGCAACUCGCCUGCAUGAAGCUGGAAUCGCUAGUAAUGGCAUAUCAGAACGAUGCCGUGAAUACGUUCCCGGGCCUUGUACACACCGCCCGU
rnacentral:rRNA from 1 species